GAUGAACGCUGACAGAAUGCUUAACACAUGCAAGUCGAUGGGGAAGUGGUGCUUGCACCAUGGCAACCAUGGCGGACGGGUGAGUAACGCGUAAGGGACUUACCUGCAGGACUGGGAUAACAGGGGGAAACUCCUGACAAGACCGGAUAAUGUCAUGGAGCUGCAUGGCUUUAUGAUGAAAGGAGACGCCUGCGGAGAGCCUUGCGUCCUAUUAGCUAGUUGGUGAGGUAAUGGCUCACCAAGGCGAAGAUAGGUAGCCGGCCUGAGAGGGUGGACGGCCACAAGGGGACUGAGAUACGGCCCUUACUACUACGGGGGGCAGCAGUGGGGAAUAUUGGACCAUGGGGGCAACACUGAUCCAGCAAUUCUGUGUGCACGAAGAAGGUUUUCGGAGUGUAAAGUGCUUUCAGCAGGGAAGAAGUAAGUGACGGUACCUGCAGAAGAAGCGACGGCUAAAUACGUG
rnacentral:rRNA from 1 species